AUCCCGUGGUGAAGGCAUUUAAGUAAUAGUUUCUUAAAUCACUCCCACGCCGCGUAUAGGGAUUCGGUGUCCAUCUGUUGGAAAGUGGUAAUCUCGUUCCUCAGCUU
rnacentral:snoRNA from 1 species